rnacentral:lncRNA from 1 species
GUAUAAGUUCUUUGUAACAUUGUGACAUUUCUUGUAAAAUUGUUUACAUAUGAUCUUCCAUCAUUAUAAUAUAUUUUUGUAACCAAUUAUGUAAGUUUUUGGCCUCUUUAGAGACAAUGGUGGCUUCUCUUUAGUUUUGCUUGUCAGAAUUACAUUAUUUAAGAAGAGAUCUCAUAUCUCUUCAUACUCUAAUUUUUACUUGUCAAACUCACAUUGGUUAAAAAAAGCAAAGGAAUUAGAGUAUGAAGAGAUAUGA